GACGAACGCUGGCGGCGUGCUUAACACAUGCAAGUCGAACGGAAAGGCCCUGCUUUUGUGGGGUGCUCGAGUGGCGAACGAGUGAGUAACACGUGAGUAACCUGCCCUUGACUUUGGGAUAACUUCAGGAAACUGGGGCUAAUACCGGAUAGGAGCUCCUGCUGCAUGGUGGGGGUUGGAAAGUUUCGGCGGUUGGGGAUGGACUCGCGGCUUAUCAGCUUGUUGGUGGGGUAGUGGCUUACCAAGGCUUUGACGGGUAGCCGGCCUGAGAGGGUGACCGGCCACAUUGGGACUGAGAUACGGCCCAGACCCCUACGGGAGGCAGCAGUGGGGAAUAUUGCACAAUGGGCGGAAGCCUGAUGCAGCAACGCCGCGUGCGGGAUGACGGCCUUCGGGUUGUAAACCGCUUUCGCCUGUGACGAAGCGUGAGGGACGGUAAUGGGUAAAGAAGCACCGGCUAACUACGUG
rnacentral:rRNA from 1 species